rnacentral:lncRNA from 1 species
AGAAAACUAACAGACUGCCUUCGGUGGCACAUCAGGAUUCAAGAAACGGUUUCAGCACAUAAAUAUCCAUGCACCGCAUCCAAAUAAUCCAUCAGUACAAAUGUUACAGAAGAAAAACACAUCUUGUCUUAAGACCAACUACAUACGCUAGAGUCAUCCAGUCAAGAGAAAUCCUGCUUCCGCAAUUGUAUCAGCAGCAAAAAAAAAUGCCAACGAAGAACAUACUCGGUCGCCUGGCAAUUCAAUAGUCAUACCAAAACAUUCAGGGAAACAAGCGGAGGCCCCCACCCCACAACACUUCCAGCAUUGUGGAACUAAGUGCUCACGCGUUAUUAGCAUAAGGGGACUCCUCACGCUGGGGUGGCUGUGCAGGGGACCUGCUAUAG